AGAGUUUGAUCCUGGCUCAGAUUGAACGCUGGCGGCAGGCCUAACACAUGCAAGUCGAGCGGUAACAGGAAUUAGCUUGCUAAUUUGCUGACGAGCGGCGGACGGGUGAGUAAUGCCUGGGAAUAUGCCUUAGUGUGGGGGAUAACUAUUGGAAACGAUAGCUAAUACCGCAUAACGUCUUCGGACCAAAGAGGGGGACCUUCGGGCCUCUCGCGCUAAGAUUAGCCCAGGUGGGAUUAGCUAGUUGGUGAGGUAAAGGCUCACCAAGGCAACGAUCCCUAGCUGGUCUGAGAGGAUGAUCAGCCACACUGGAACUGAGACACGGUCCAGACUCCUACGGGAGGCAGCAGUGGGGAAUAUUGCACAAUGGGGGAAACCCUGAUGCAGCCAUGCCGCGUGUAUGAAGAAGGCCUUCGGGUUGUAAAGUACUUUCAGUCGUGAGGAAGGGUAUGUAGUUAAUAGCUGCAUGCCUUGACGUUAGCGACAGAAGAAGCACCGGCUAACUCCGUGCCAGCAGCCGCGGUAAU
rnacentral:rRNA from 1 species